GCCUUCCGGCCCGAGUUCUGGAGACUCAACAUGAAGCUACCGGCCAGGGUUUUCUUUACUCUGGGGUCCCGGCUGCCCUGUGGCCUCGCUCCUCGGCGGGUGCUCAGUGCGUGAUAGCCAGCCGGAAGAUGGAUGUUUUGAAAGCUACCGCAGAACAAAUUUCUUCUCAAACUGGAAAUAAGGUUCAUGCAAUUCAGUGUGAUGUGAGGGAUCCUGAUAUGGUUCAAAACACUGUGUCAGAACUGAUCAAAGUUGCAGGACAUCCUAAUAUUGUGAUAAACAAUGCAGCAGGGAAUUUUAUUUCUCCUACUGAAAGACUUUCUCCUAAUGCUUGGAAAACCAUAACUGACAUAGUUCUAAAUGGCACAGCCUUCGUGACACUAGAAAUUGGAAAACAACUAAUUAAAGCACAGAAAGGAGCAGCAUUUCUUUCUAUUACUACUAUCUAUGCUGAGACUGGUUCAGGUUUUGUAGUACCAAGUGCUUCUGCCAAAGCAGGUGUGGAAGCCAUGAGCAAGUCUCUUGCAGCUGAAUGGGGUAAAUAUGGAAUGCGAUUCAAUGUGAUUCAACCAGGGCCUAUAAAAACCAAAGGUGCCUUUAGCCGUCUGGACCCAACUGGAACAUUUGAGAAAGAAAUGAUUGGCAGAAUUCCCUGUGGUCGCCUGGGGACUGUAGAAGAACUCGCAAAUCUUGCUGCUUUCCUUUGUAGUGAUUAUGCUUCUUGGAU
rnacentral:sRNA from 1 species